rnacentral:lncRNA from 10 species
CAGCAAUGGGCAUUAGGAGUCAGAAGUACAAUAACUGUGGAAAUAACUUCAAACAAUAGAGAAAGAAGAAGGAAGAGUCAAGCAUAACACCAAAGGAUAGCAGGGCCAUUAUUGACAUUGGAAUCUCAGGAGCAGAGGCAUUUGGUGAGGGAGCCAAUAUCUGCAAGGAGAUCCAGAAAUGCCUAGGGUUUACAUCUCCCUGGCAAGGGCCCUACAAAUGACUCCUGGUACAGAAGUUUAAA